UGUUUGUUUCCAACGUUGUACGGUUGCCGCGUCACGUAAGCAUUGCCAAUUUAAACAUAGAAUACCGGCGUUACUGACUUCUUCGACAGAGACGAUUGUUGGUGCUGUUUUUGCUAGAACCGUUUGUUGGCCUUUUCAUAAUGCCAGUGAAACAGCCGGCUGCAAAGACAGAUUCUUCCUACAGUGACAGAGUUUGCACAGGAGGUUCUCGCCGAAAGCGGUUGAGUCAUCGGGUUGAAACUUGUUCUCUCUUGCGGCAACCUGACAAAUCUGUUGAAUGCGGAGCACGGAGCUACUUCAAACAGCAGACUCGUCACUAAACGACAACUCGCUAAAAAGCCGUGAUGCAGCCUUCAAGUGGAGGCCGUAAAGCAGAGUGUACGGAUGAUAAAGGACUAAAUUUAGCUAUGGCAACAGACAAGGCAAGUCGGGACAUCUGUCGCGAAAUUUGCUAGUACUUGUACAUACCAUCACAUUCUCCUGCCCUCUAUUCACCCCCCGUGAUGGAAGAACAACAUGUGCAACGCUAGCAGGCCCGCGGAGCAAAUUCAGUCCUCAAUUUUCCACUUGUUGUAAAAUCUUCUUACUGGAUACUAUUUACCAUCCAACUUAAUUUAUGUAAUGUAUGACACUAUAUAAUCUCUUAUGUCAACGAAUUUCGAAAGUUACUCGGGACUAUAAAUAUACACAAAUAGUUUGCGCCUACAAGUUAUUGUGUCUACGAUUUUGGAGCUCAAUAGGUCAAGUCGUAUCAUACAUACGACGAGCGACAGGUGGCACUCCGUGGCCAUUAUGUAGGGUCUACACGCAUCGAUUCUUCCAAGCAUCUUGUUGGAAACGAAUACCGAGGAAUAACAGGUUCCUCAAGCUUACAGAAAACAACAUAGGAAAAAAACACCAACCUUUAGCCAGCAACGCUCCAUUUUCUAACUGUUCCACUAACGCUUGGCGUCUUCCUUUAUAUCUCUGCUUUAGAAGAUUAUACGAUCACCGUACAUUAUACAGGAUAGACAUUUCGUGCCGACCAUCUAACCUGGUUACUUCACGCUACCUGUAAGCCCUUUUUCACGAAAUAUUUCAAUGCAAUUUUUAUCAACGAUGAACGGAGGCAGAUCAUAAAACAGCACUGGAAGAAGCAGACGGAGUAGGACAAAGGUGGAUUCAAGGUUUUCAAGCCAAAAUGUAGAAGAGGUCUCAGACCACCGCAUCUAUAUGCGACGCCCCCGGAAAGUGGCAAAUCGACAACGGCUAUUCACGAGGAAAAACUUAGGCACUUAAUGGGUCAGCAUUUACGACAUUGCCUUGAGCGAAAACAGGCAAGAUAAUAAAGUACUCGGCAAGGUGACAUGAUUGAAUUAAGUUCAAUUCGAAUUCAUCACAAACACUAGGGAUCGGCACAGUCGCGUCGAUUCUAUAACAGAAAAUCUUCACGUACUAUUAGGACAGCAGCCUGUAGCUAGUGUUUAAAUGGCCAUUUAGCAUAGACGAGUGAUUGACUUUUCCCGUUUUCAUUCGCCCCUCUCUAAGGACAUGUACCUGCGUUUGAUAUAGGACAUUGUUCUACCGCGAACGAAAAGCAGACAAUCGUUUUGUUUCUUUAUUGUACAAUUGGACAGACAUUUGGACGUGGGUUUCUGGACAAAAAAAAUUAAACAGAUAAAUAAGCUAACAAAGCCUAGUAGGUUAGGCGCACGAUCAUCACGUUUGACGCCUAUAGGCUGCCCUUUUUAACGCGUCGUAGAAGAUAAGCUGUUCGCGCUAGAACAAUCAGUUGUGUAUUAUCGUUAAAGGCGCAGUCGUUAAAGCAAACGCCCAUAAACUAGGCCAAGAAAAAGUAAUGCAUACUUUAUCUCAACAAAGAUGUCAUAAAUGUUGCGUUUAUAACCUUGAUGAAGCGUUACAAACUAAGCGAACUUUAAAGAAAGAUAGUUCAUUACAUACGACGAGCGAAGCAGAAAAUUGCUAACGAUAUUGAAUUUUACGCGAACCUUUGGCAAGCAUACAUCAGGAACAUAUAAAUAAUGGUGGUCAUCAAAUUGACGACUUACGAGGUAAAACUCCUAGUGAUCCUAGUAAUAAAACCGU
rnacentral:lncRNA from 1 species